rnacentral:rRNA from 1 species
GACGAACGCUGGCGGCGUGCUUAACACAUGCAAGUCGAACGGAAAGGCCCUGCUUUUGUGGGGUGCUCGAGUGGCGAACGGGUGAGUAACACGUGAGUAACCUGCCCUUGACUUUGGGAUAACUUCAGGAAACUGGGGCUAAUACCGGAUAGGAGCUCCUGCUGCAUGGUGGGGGUUGGAAAGUUUCGGCGGUUGGGGAUGGACUCGCGGCUUAUCAGCUUGUUGGUGGGGUAGUGGCUUACCAAGGCUUUGACGGGUAGCCGGCCUGAGAGGGUGACCGGCCACAUUGGGACUGAGAUACGGCCCAGACGCCUACGGGAGGCAGCAGUGGGGAAUAUUGCACAAUGGGCGGAAGCCUGAUGCAGCAACGCCGCGUGCGGGAUGACGGCCUUCGGGUUGUAAACCGCUGUCGCCUGUGACGAAGCGGGAGUGACGGUAAUGGGUAAAGAAGCACCGGCUAACUACGUG